rnacentral:rRNA from 1 species
AAUUCGAUUGAGUUUGAUCAUGGCUCAGGAUGAACGCUGGCGGUAUGCUUUACACAUGCAAGUCGAACGCAAGUUUUUAACUUGAGUGGCGGACGGGUGAGUAACACGUGAGAAUUCGCCUUUAGGCGGGGAAUAACCAUCGGAAACAAUGGCUAAUGCCCCAUAUGCUCGCAAGAGUGAAAGGAGUAAUCCACCCAAAGAGAAGCUCGCGGCUGAUUAGCUAGUUGGUAAGGUAAUGGCUUACCAAGGCGACGAUCAGUAGCUGGUUUGAGAGAACGAUCAGCCACACUGGAACUGAGACACGGUCCAGACUCCUACGGGAGGCAGCAGUGGGGAAUUUUCCGCAAUGGGCGAAAGCCUGACGGAGCAAUACCGCGUGAGGGAUGAAGGCCUUUGGGUUGUAAACCUCUUUUAUCAAGGAGGAAGUUCUGACGUGUACUUGAUGAAUAAGCAUCGGCUAACUCCGUGCCAGCAGCCGCGGUAAGACGGAGGAUGCAAGUGUUAUCCGGAAUCACUGGGCGUAAAGCGUCUGUAGGGUGGUUUAAAAAGUCCACUGUUAAAGAUUGAAGCUUAACUUCAAAAAUGCCGUGGAAACUUUUAAACUUGAGUAUGAUAGGGGUAGAGGGAAUUUCCAGUGNNGCGGUGAAAUGCGUAGAUAUUGNAAAGACCACCAAUGGCGAAGGCACUCUACUGGGCCAUUACUGACACUGAGAGACGAAAGCUAGGGGAGCAAAUGGGA